GCUUCUAGACUUGCCGUCAUUCUCCAGCUUGUCAAAAUACCUGUUAAAAUCUGAACUAAACACAGUGCUCCUGGUGAGGACUAAUGAAUGCAGAAUAUGGGCCUACGGUGGGCACAGUGAGCUUGGAACUUCACCCGAUCAUUUCAACGACCUUAAGAGGAUGGGCCAGACUGAAGAAAUCUAUGAACUAGAAUUGACGGACUCAAGUCUAGGCCAGCUCUAAAACAUGGAAUCAAGGUCAUCUGAGAAGUGGACAUGUUGCAGGAGAGGGUCUGUCGACGGAGGCCGAAGCAGCAGUCAACAAACGGAAGACCCACAAGAUGGGAAGUUAGUGGAGAUCCAUUAGUGGGGGUCUAAUAUUAGUGCCUGGGUACAUCGGGUUGAUAAAAAGUAAAUUAAGUCAGUAUGAGGCACUAGUGAUCAGAAGAAAAGGUGAAAGCUACUUGUGUCAAAGUGGAAGUAAGCAGCAAGACUGGUUCAACAUACCCCCAGUAAAUUAUUAAUGGAGAGAUUCUUGUUUCCCCUUGUUUUAAGCGUAGGAUUGCUCAGAGCCUAGAACCAGGGUUGAACAGAUGGGUAGGGACACGGAGGCUUCAAGAGGGGAGGAGUAUAAUGAUUAGGCACCAAACAUAGCAUGCUCUGUGAUUGGACUUGUGAGUGUGUGUUGAGUACAGGAAAUAAAGUUGGAUCUGAACACCUUAGAAACUGGAAGAAGAGUUCUAGUUUGAUGUGGUUGGUGUUCAGUAGGUUCCUCAGCUGGAGAACAACCACAUCAAGGUAGUUCUCUAUGCAAACUCUUCUAGCAGUAACGUGCAAGGUCAGGAAGGUGGAGCAGAUGAGAAUAUUUUGUAGCAAAUGGAAGUGUGAAGUCACCGGGCACGUGAACCUCGUAUGUCAGGCAGUUUCAGAGAAGUUGUGAGGAUAGAAGUUUCAAAUGCAGUGGGUUGAAAAGUGAAUAGGAAGUGAGUCAAGGGGAUGCCUGGGUGAAAGGGAAAAUAAAUAGGAAAGUCAUUAGAGAGAAACUUGGUAUCGUUUCUUUUUUUUUCUGAGAGGAAACACUUGAUCAUUUCUAUUUCCAUAGGGACCCUUGAGGAAAAAUGCUUUUCUGCUUCUAGGACAAAGAAGAACGGUUUUUCUGGGCAAUUCUGUUUUUAAUGUUAGGAACAAUUUUGAUUGUGAAAUGGGUUAGGUUUUUCCACUUCUCCUUGACUGUCCAAAAAUUCAAGGUAACUCUGAUUCAACUGUGGUGUCUAGAUCUUCAUGGGAUGGGUUUUAAAACUCACUCCUCACUCCGUUUGAUAGACCUGGUCUGAUUUUUCUCCCAUUUUCUCUUGUUUUUCGUGUCAUGUUUUAUUUCUUUCUUUUGUUUUGGAACUUUAUGACUCAUUUAUGUCACUUUCUGGAAUGAGAUGUACCCCUAACAACAAAUAUAUUGCCUGGCACAGGGUAAGAUCUUAAUUUGUAUUUGUUAAGUGGAUUAAAUAAAUCGAGCAUAGAAUAUGAGGAAAAAGAGGAAUCUCCUUGACAUUUUGAAGGAUGCCGUGACAGGGGUUACUAAUAGAUUGGAGAAAGGC
rnacentral:lncRNA from 1 species